rnacentral:rRNA from 1 species
UACAGAGGGGGCGAGCGUUAUUCGGAAUUACUGGGCGUAAAGGGCGCGUAGGCGGCCUGCUAAGUCGAACGUGAAAUCCCCGGGCUUAACCCGGGAACUGCGUCCGAUACUGGUGGGCUUGAAUCCGGGAGAGGGAUGUGGAAUUCCAGGUGUAGCGGUGAAAUGCGUAGAUAUCUGGAGGAACACCGGUGGCGAAGGCGGCAUCCUGGACCGGUAUUGACGCUGAGGCGCGAAAGCUAGGGGAGCAAACGGG